GCCCCGGUAGCUCAGCCCGGUAGAGCAAUCGCCUUGUAAGCGAUGGGUCGUGGGUUCAAACCCCACCCGGGGCU
rnacentral:tRNA from 1 species